rnacentral:rRNA from 1 species
UAGGGAAUCUUCGGCAAUGGACGGAAGUCUGACCGAGCAACGCCGCGUGAGUGAAGAAGGUUUUCGGAUCGUAAAGCUCUGUUGUUAGAGAAGAACGUUGGUAGGAGUGGAAAAUCUACCAAGUGACGGUAACUAACCAGAAAGGGACGGCUAACUACGUGCCAGCAGCCGCGGUAAUACGUAGGUCCCGAGCGUUGUCCGGAUUUAUUAGGCGUAAAGCGAGCGCAGGCGGUUCUUUAAGUCUGAAGUUAAAGGCAGUGGCUUAACCAUUGUACGCUUUGGAAACUGGAGUACUUGAGUGCAGAAGGGGUGAGUGGAAUUCCAUGUGUAGCUGUGAAAUGCGUAGAUAUAUGGAGGAACACCGGUGGCGAAAGCUGCUCUCUGGUCUGUAACUGACGCUGAGGCUCGAAAGCGUGGGGAGCAAACAGG